rnacentral:rRNA from 1 species
UGUCGCCUACGGGACGCAGCAGUGAGGAAUAUUGGUCAAUGGGCGGAAGCCUGAACCAGCCAAGUUGCGUGAGGGAAUAAGGCCCUACGGGUCGUAAACCUCUUUUGCCGGGGAGCAAGGGCGGGGACGUGUCCCGGCCCGGAGAGUACCCGGAGAAAAGGCAUCGGCUAACUCCGUGCUAGCAGCCGCGGUAAUACGGAGGAUGCGAGCGUUAUCCGGAUUUAUUGGGUUUAAAGGGUGCGUAGGCGGGCUUUUAAGUCAGCGGUAAAAAUUCGGGGCUCAACCCCGUCCGGCCGUUGAAACUG